CUCUGAGAUGGGGCUGGAGACCCCUAUCCAGUCUCAACACCCAGGGCCCUGUCUACGCAGCAGGGAAGGGACAGAGACCUGCAGUACGAUGUCUCCCAUCAGCCCUGGGACCUGAGAGGCCAGGAGGGGCAGGUGCCCAUUGGAUCCAUCCUGCUGUGUGUUCUUCAAGGGCAUCCUGCUUUCUGCUCUUGUGUUUGCACGUAGUCCCUGUCCUGAAGGAUUACAAGCCACCCGGCAGAAGUCAGUCCAAGCAGGGCAGUGAGGAUGUGUCAGUAGCAAGGCAAGGCUCCGCUCCCCUCCAGAGGCAAGACAAGCCAUAGGCUCCCUGAAAGAGGAAUGGAAUUUGAGGCUGCUGUGGAGACCCCCAGGCUCUCCACAUGCACUUGGAGAGAGAUGAUGCCAGCUGUGGAGAGGACCUGGGCUUGGAACCAUAGCCACCACAGGUCUGGAAGGAGACUAUACCAGCUGUGGAAAGGAUCUGGGCCCCAGACAAGGCAGAACCUCCAAACAAAACAAGUUGGGUGCAUCCAGGGAGAGGCCAAGAGGAAAUCACUGCUGAACACAUAAGAAAGUCACAUCUCCAGGGAUGGUGACCUGUGAGUCGAGCCACAUGAGGACAUACAGGACGGAGCUAAGAAGGUAACCCCACUUUGGAUCACAAAGUCCUGCACCUAAGGUGUGCAGGGGAGUAAUCCACCCAGGUAAGGUCCUGGGGGACAGAGUCCUUCUUCAGGGCUGGAUCAAGACAGCCACACCCAUGGCAUCCUUGGUCAGCUUCCAGAUGGAUCUGUGUGACUUUCUGAGCUCCAGAGCUUUGUGUGUAAUGUUAGGGGCACGGGCGACCUGAGGAUCCCUUGGGAGAUCUUCCCCGGCAGGUUUAGCCACGUCAUCCCCGCCCCCACCUAGAAUUCUGGCUUUGCACUAUAGAGGCUGGAGAGAUGUCACCACCAAGAAGAAGUGACCUACACAAUAGAAAUGCAACAGGAAAGAUGACGUUAAAUAUUAGAGAAAAAGAUCUCUAGCCAUUUCUGAGAUGGAGAAGAAAAGCCCCUUCCAUGUGUAAUGAUGCACGUAGAAGAACAACUGAUACACUUUGGACUGUUGUUGGUGCUGCUUUGAGAUGACCCGCACUGGGUAAGACCAGGAGCUAGCACGGCAGAGCCAGAUCCACAAGAAGUCAUCAUGAAAGACAACUGAAACGAUCGUGGGCGUGGGCCAGGCCCUGCCACAUCCCAGAGAAAAUGGAGAGCGGCAGGAAGCAUACGGAACUCUCUGGUGCUGUAAUACAGCCCGCAUUUGUCACACUGUGUUUCCUUGGCGGGGCCUGGGGGCGGUGAUGGUGGUGGUGGUGGUCUGUGUCUGAGUGUUGAGAGGUAAAGGCAGGCUGGGGAGAGACAGUGGCAGCUAGGAGGCCUAGAGGAAACCCAUGCUGAAGGGCCCAAAGUGCAGAGCAGUGAAGAGCAAACAGUGGUCUUGUAGCAGGGCUAACGGCCCACCAGUGGCCACAGCUUAGCUUGGAUCUUUGCUUAGGGAGAACUUACCAGAUUGGUUGUGGUAGCGGCAGCAGGGAUUGCAGUUUUCAGAAGGGAAGGCUUUCUAAAGGGCAGAGAUGGAUGAGGCAUCCCACCAUGGGCUCCGGAUGUGACUUGCGUAUAGCUGUGGCUCAUAGACUGUACACAAGACACACACCCCCUCCACCUGGGGUGCCUAGACUCUAUACCUGGCUGUGGUGUUUCUGCUAUUUUCCAGCUCUCUGACUGACAAAGUUAUUGCUUCUCUCUGUGCCCCAGUUUUUCUUCUUUUUAAAGAAAAGUAUAUUGUUCAUCAUGUGUAUGCAUGUGUGUCUGUGUUAGAGUAUGUACACAUGAGUGCAGUUGCCCAUGCAGGCCAGAAGAGGGUGCCAGAUUCCCUGGAGUUGAAGUCACAGGUAGUUGUGAGUCAUCCAACAUGGGUGCUGGGAACUGAACUCUAGUCCUCUGCAAAAGCUGUACUCACUCUAAAUCACUGAACCAUCUCUCUACUCCCCUAGCCUCAGGUUCUUCAAAUGUAAAUCAGAAGUAAUAAUAACAUCAUCUUUCAUUGGGUUGUCGUUUAUGAAUUGCCAUUGUUUUGAGCACUGACUGUUGGAAAUGCAUUAAAUAAAAGUAUAAAAUAGUGUGGGAUAUCUCCUCAUGAGUUGUUGUUGGUGAGGGAAGCCAAGGGCCCUCAAAACAAUACAGGCUAAUGCUGAUGUUCUUGCUUUUACACUAGAGCUAGGUGAUAAGAUCAUAUCACUAAACAUACCAUAUACUUGAGUUGCAGGACAUAGAGAAAUCAAAUCCAGCUGGUCCUCAUAGUGCUAAAAGGUACUAAGUACUGUGCAAGCAGUUGGGAGAGGAAAGCCAUUAAUAGUCUCACCUAGCUGUGAACCCUGAGAGUUACACCACCAACCAGUAGUGGCAUGACUAUUGUGGGGGUAACCAACUGUUGUGGAAUAUUAGUUAAAGAUGUGUCUCAUUCUUUUAUGCUGUGGAGUAUUUGUUUAAUAAUGCAAAGAUGCGUUACAUUCUUUUAU